rnacentral:rRNA from 1 species
CAAGAAUGCAGUCGAACGGGAUAACAUCUGUAGCAAUACAGGUGUUAUUUAGUGGCGAACGGGUGCGUAACACGUGGGAAAUCUGCCGAGAAGUGGGGGAUAGCUCGCCGAAAGGCGAAUUAAUACCGCAUGUGAUCAGAGAGGACAUCCUCUCGAAAUCAAAGCCGGGGCAACCUGGCGCUUCUUGAUGAUCCCGCGGCCUAUCAGCUAGUUGGUGAGGUAAUGGCUCACCAAGGCUUUGACGGGUAGCUGGUCUGAGAGGACGACCAGCCACACUGGAACUGAGACACGGUCCAGACACCUACGGGUGGCAGCAGUCGAGAAUUUUUCACAAUGGGGGCAACCCUGAUGGAGCGACGCCGCGUGGAGGAUGAAUGCUUUCGGGUUGUAAACUCCUGUCAUUUGGGAACAAGGUGCAUCGAUUAACUGUCGAUGCAUUGAUAGUACCAGAAGAGGAAGGGACGGCUAACUCUGUGCCAGCAGCCGCGGUAAUACAGAGGUCUCAAGCGUUGUUCGGAUUCAUUGGGCGUAAAAGGGUGCGUAGUGGCGCCGUAAGUCAGAUGUGAAAUUUCGGAGCUUAACUCCGAAACUGCGUUUGAUACUGCGGUGCUUGAGGACUGGAGAGGAGACUGGAAUUCACGGUGUAGCAGUGAAAUGCGUAGAUAUCGUGAGGGAGACCAGUGGCGAAGCGGGUCUCUGGACAGUUCCUGACACUGAGGCACGAAUGCACGGGAGCAACGGGAUUAGAUAC